rnacentral:rRNA from 1 species
AACGAACGCUGGCGCAUGCCUAACACAUGCAAGUCGAACGAGACCUUCGGGUCUAGUGGCGCACGGGUGCGUAACGCGUGGGAACCUGCCCUUAGGUUCGGAAUAACUCCCCGAAAGGGGUGCUAAUACCGGAUAAUGUCUUCGGACCAAAGAUUUAUCGCCUUUGGAUGGGCCCGCGUUGGAUUAGCUAGUUGGUAGGGUAAAAGCCUACCAAGGCGACGAUCCAUAGCUGGUCUGAGAGGAUGAUCAGCCACACUGGGACUGAGACACGGCCCAGACUCCUACGGGAGGCAGCAGUGGGGAAUAUUGGACAAUGGGCGAAAGCCUGAUCCAGCAAUGCCGCGUGAGUGAUGAAGGCCUUAGGGUUGUAAAGCUCUUUUACCCGGGAUGAUAAUGACAGUACCGGGAGAAUAAGCUCCGGCUAACUCCGUG